rnacentral:rRNA from 1 species
GACGAACGCUGGCGGCGUGCCUAAUACAUGCAAGUAGAACGCAGUUGCGAACGGGUGAGUAACGCGUAGGUAACUGCCUCAUAGCGGGGGAUAACUAUUGGAAACGAUAGCUAAUACCGCAUACUGUGAGAUGGACCUGCGUUGUAUUAGCUAGUUGGUGAGGUAAAGGCUCACCAAGGCGACGAUACAGAGCCGACCUGAGAGGGUGGUCGGCCCACAUGGGAAUGGGCAACGGCGCAGCAUUCUUCGGGAGGCCGCAGUAGGGAAUCUUCGGCAAUUGACGGCAGUCUGAACGAGCAACGCCGGGUGAGUGAAGAAGGUUUUCGGAUCGUAAAGCUCUGUUGUUAGAGAAGCGUUAACUACCCAGAAAGGGCCGGCUAACUACGUGCCAGCAGCCGCGGUAAUUC